rnacentral:rRNA from 1 species
GGGUGAGUAACGCGUGGGAAUCUACCGUGCCCUACGGAAUAGCUCCGGGAAACUGGAAUUAAUACCGUAUACGCCCUACGGGGGAAAGAUUUAUCGGGGUAUGAUGAGCCCGCGUUGGAUUAGCUAGUUGGUGGGGUAAAGGCCUACCAAGGCGACGAUCCAUAUCUGGUCUGAGAGGAUGAACAGCCACAUUGGGACUGAAACACGGCCCAAACUCCUACGGGAGGCAGCAGUGGGGAAUAUUGGACAAUGGGCGCAAGCCUGAUCCAGCCAUGCCGCGUGAGUGAUGAAGGUCUUAGGAUUGUAAAGCUCUUUCACCGGUGAAGAUAAUGACGGUAACCGGAAAAGAAGCCCCGGCUAACUUCGUGCCAGCAGCCGCGGUAAUACGAGGGGGGCUAGCGUUGUUCGGAAUUUUUGUUUCGUAAAGCGCACGUAGGCCCAUAUUUUUUUUUUGGGGUGAAAU